rnacentral:rRNA from 1 species
GAUGAACGCUGGCGGCGUGCCUAAUACAUGCAAGUCGAGCGAACAGACGAGGAGCUUGCUCCUCUGACGUUAGCGGCGGACGGGUGAGUAACACGUGGAUAACCUACCUAUAAGACUGGGAUAACUUCGGGAAACCGGAGCUAAUACCGGAUAAUAUAUUGAACCGCAUGGUUCAAUAGUGAAAGACGGUUUUGCUGUCACUUAUAGAUGGAUCCGCGCCGCAUUAGCUAGUUGGUAAGGUAACGGCUUACCAAGGCAACGAUGCGUAGCCGACCUGAGAGGGGGAUGGGCCACCCUGGACCUGAGACACGGCCCAGAUUCCGAGGGGAGGAAGCGGAGGGAAUCUUCCGCAAUGGGCGAAAGCCUGACGGAGCAACGCCGCGUGAGUGAUGAAGGUCUUCGGAUCGUAAAACUCUGUUAUUAGGGAAGAACAAAUGUGUAAGUAACUAUGCACGUCUUGACGGUACCUAAUCAGAAAGCCACGGCUAACUACGUG